UGGAACAAGUUCCCCGGGGAGGUUGUGGAUGCCCCAUCCCUGGAGGCAUUCAAGGCCAGGCUUGAUGUGACUCUGGGCAGCCUGCUCUAGUGGUUGGCAACUCUGCCUAGAGCAGGGAGGUUGAAACUAGAUCAUCUUUAAGGUCCUUUUCAACCCAGGCCAUUCUAUGGUUCUCUGAUUAUGCACUUAUCUGGAUUCAGG